UCAAAAUCCAUCUUUCUUUUGUUAGACCAAAAUCAAAAACCAAAUUCCUUUCUGUUUUUUUCUUUUGUCUACUGCUACUACCUGAUCUAAUGUGUAUUCAACGAAAUUAAAGCAUAGGGAAAAUAGCACGUGCAACGCCUAAAUCCCACAGAUAGGCACUCAAUGACCAAAACGUCCGGAGUCUAUGUCAUACUUUGCAUAGUUAUUUGCAAAUUAUGCUCCAUAAAUACUUUUAGUAAAAUUUUAAGAAAAAAAAAAACCAAUCGAAUAUUCACGGUAAAGACGCAGCAGCCAUACGUUUCGAUUGUGGUGAUAAACGAAAGAUGCAAUAAUUCUCAGUGCUUCCCAUUGUUAAUUACGUCGACAUUUCAUUCAAAUUUUUAUUUAUAGUUUUGACGGAAAAAUAUAAAGCAUAUUCUCCAACCAAAUGGAAAUGCAAUAUUGUGAUAUUCACAAAUAUUUGGCGAGAAAAUGUUUUACUACAUCUUAACGCCGCCGCAAACAUUUUCGAUUAAUGCAAACUUUUCAAAAAGACUACCAGCGAAGCAAGACGAAGCUUGUCGAUUGCAAACGAACGAACUCAGCAAGUGGUGCCACCUGAAACAAAUUUAAAAAUAUUGCAUGACCGUAGAGGUGCAUACAAGGCAAACUCAAUCUAGAUGGUAGCCAAGCAGAACUUACACAGCAACUUAACAUAAUAGCCAACAGCAUUUAUAAAAGUCGUUAAUGCAACAGCUGAACAAGUCUGGUAACUCUGGAUGCCUCUUCGUGACCGUAGCACUUUUAUGAGCAAAUUUUAGCGACACACACUCUUGCGAACAAAGUGUUAAAAACAACAUCGUACGUUGAAAAGUGCUCCGCCCAGACAUGAAUUGAUCAUUGGUCGGUCAAAUUUAAAACUUUUAAAACACGUUUACAUGAAGGAUGGGAUUUAAAAUUGUGGUGCUGAAAAUGAUAUUAAAAAUUAAGAAUAUUGUACGAUUCGUUUUCAUUGAUGAAAAAGGCCAGCAAAUUUAGAGUGUGAAGCAGUGGAGCCGUAUGUGAAAAUUAGAGGCAAGAAAUUACAUGGCCAUUUACAAUUAUCAGCGAAUAUAUGGGCAAUCAAAAGUCAUGAGACACCAACAACAACUGCCACUUGUCGUGCGCUCUUUUCUCUUUAGUGUCGCUUUACAUCCCACAUAAGUGUAAUCGCUCUUGUAGGAACGAAUACACCAAAAUUCUAAACGUUCGAAAGCAGCUGGAUUUGUCUCGCGCGCGGAUGGGAUCAUCACAACGCGUGAUACAAAUCGCAGCUCUCAAUGCCUCCUCAGCGAUUUUCAUUGCCCAGGCGGAUGUGGGAUAUUAUUGCUUGCUCUAAUAGUCUUCAACGGUUGCCGUCCACAAGUUUCCAUCGAAACAAACGGCCCGCCUGCGGCCCUUAUUCAACCAACAACUCAAGAAAUUCACAAAAUUCUCACGUUUACGCGCGUAUCUGCGAAGCGAGUUUAUUUGAGAGCAUCUACAUAUGUGUAUACGAACAGCAUUAUGCAUUUGAAUUUUUGUUUUUGUCAAUCGCUCAACCAACAACGUACUCAUCGAAACGGUGAGCUAAGCUACGUAUCACUUAUGUAAGGUGAAAGGUAGAUAUACAAUGUGCAAUAUGUUUGAGAGAGGUAACACGAUUUUACUAACGAAAGCAAGUAAAUGGAGAAACAUAAAUACACUAAAAAUGUAUCUGUUAGAUGGAAAAACGCGGUCUCUGCAAAUUUAGAGUUUAAUUAAACCAAAAAACGAUGUAUAAUUUUAAGAAAAUAUCAGCUUGCAUUUGACAACUAAAAGUGUGCAAUAUCGAUAUCGCAAUGCUUUCUAAAUCGUAUAAAAUGACCAGUGAUAGGAUUUUAUUUUACAUCCUAGUCAACUUCAAAAUAAUACCUCAUCACGAAUACCUUUACGAACAGUCACUCGUGCCGAAAUGCCCUACUAUGUACACAUAGGGUACCAAGUCAACAAACUCUCUUAUAAAGCAAGCAAAAAAAAAAUACUUGAAAAAGUGCAACACAUAUUACCAAAAACAAAUCAAAUAUUAGCGAAGGAAUAAAAUUUACUUUGGACUGGAGCUCAA